CGGUUUAUUGAUUCCAUUAUGAUCAAUGCAAAUUAAACAAUGUGUGAGCUGCUGACGUGCGGGAAUAAAUAAGCUGCUCCCGACUCACUCACACUCACACACAAUUAACUGACCGGCGACAAGGACUGACAGUUUGAAUAAUCAGUCCCGUUUCUCACCGUCACUCUGCAUCGGGGAACCGAUGAUUAUAAAAUCACACUUCAGGGCCGUGUCCGGGAUCGCUGCAGAUCCAGGGUCACUGCCGAGGGAUUUGUCCAUUUAACAUCAUUAUAUCGGCCAGGCUGCCGAAUGCACCGUCCUCAGCAAAGGGGGCAAAAGGAUUCUCUCCCGGGAUCAUCCCCCCCACCCCGGGACACCGGUGUCCCAGACUGAGCCCCGGCCUCCCGGGCUCUUCCUGUCCGGGUAAUUCCCCGGGGAGUCACGUCGGUGUCUCGUACACGCACUUCCGGCGGAAGCUGUCCCGCCGGACAACAGGCGGAAACACGUCACUGCGGGACCGCUGCGAGCGACGCACACAGCGCGAGGCCCGAGCCGGGUCCGUUAAAACCGUUGAAAGUUGAACCAGGCGCGCGGCCGUUAAAGGAUGAAGGACAAUGAUGAUCAAGCUUGUAGCGAUUUACUAAACCCGUGUUCAGGGGCACUGAGGGGUUUCAUUGACCGGGUGUGGACUGGAGCAAUAUUUACAGAGGUCCCAGAAACUAUUCUGUCCAGCUUUGGGACACCAAUCCGCAUUUUCACAAAGGUUUCCCACAUCACCCUCCGGGCGCGGGAGCCUUUCUCCAUCACCAGGCUCAGGAGGAGUUUAGAACUGUCCGCCCGCUCUCCCUUAUCAGCGAG